rnacentral:snoRNA from 1 species
CUCCUCUCAGGAUGGCACCUGGAGAGUUUCCAAUACUCUACCAGUCUCGGCUACGGGAGGGAGAGUCAAGCAGAAGCAUACCCAUUCCAUUCCUGGCUUGGACAGUGGCUAGUAAGUGGAAGGCCACCGCUACAAGU